GCCCGCUCAAGAAACUUAAAGGAAGUUGACGGGGCCCGCACAAGCGGUGGAGUAUGUGGUUAAUUCGAUGCAACGCGAAGAACCUUACCUGGUCUUGACAUCCCGGAGACCCUUAGGAAACUAGGGGGUGCUUCCAUCUGGAAGAAUCUGGAGACAGGUGCUGCAUGGCUGUCGUCAGCUCGUGUCGUGAGAUGUUGGGUUAAGUCCCGCAACGAGCGCAACCCUUGCCUUUAGUUGCCAGCAGUUCGGCUGGGCACUCUAAAGGGACUGCCGGUGUUAAACCGGAGGAAGGUGGGGAUGACGUCAAGUCCUCAUGGCCUUUAUGACCAGGGCUACACACGUACUACAAUGGCCGAUACAAAGGGCAGCGACACUGCGAGGUGAAGCCAAUCCCGUAAAAUCGGUCUCAGUCCGGAUUGGAGUCUGCAACUCGACUCCAUGAAGUUGGAAUCGCUAGUAAUCGUGGAUCAGCAUGCCACGGUGAAUACGUUCCCGGGCCUU
rnacentral:rRNA from 1 species